GCAAUACGGAGCGGCAGACGGGAGAGUAACACGUGGGAACGUGCCCUUCAGUUCGGAACAACCCAGGGAAACUUGGGCUAAUACCGGAUACGUCCGUAAGGAGAAAGAUUUAUCGCUGAAGGAUCGGCCCGCGUCUGAUUAGCUAGUUGGUGGGGUAACGGCCCACCAAGGCGACGAUCAGUAGCUGGUCUGAGAGGAUGAUCAGCCUCACUGGGACUGAGACACGGCCCAGACUCCUACGGGAGGCAGCAGUGGGGAAUAUUGGACAAUGGGCGCAAGCCUGAUCCAGCCAUGCCGCGUGGGUGAUGAAGGCCUUAGGG
rnacentral:rRNA from 1 species